rnacentral:lncRNA from 1 species
CUUUGAUUCUUUUACACCCUAAUUGCUUGGCAUUUAUAAUGGGGAGACAGGAACCAGGGUCCUUGGGAGAGAUGGCCAAGUGUGGUCCAAUGUGGCUGGCCUCAACUGGACUGGCUUUUGUCCCUUGCUAGGCCACAGGAAGAGCCAAUUUCUGAAUCAGGAGCAAAAUAUUUUCUAGAAGUUAUUACAUGGCAGCUCUGAGGAAAAAAUUCUUUGACCUUCUAGUCAAAUCAUGAAAUUAAGAUUACUCCAGCAAUGUAUCCCAGUGGCAACACUUCAUCUUCAUUCACGCUCCUCGGCAGCCCAGCCUUUACAUGGGUCGCCAGAACAUCUCUCCGAGGUAUUGACUGUAAAGAGGGAAACCUCCACUGUCCAUAUCCAAACUUCAGAGUAGUGUUUAAAGCAGGCAUAGUAGAGGUAAUGGGAAAGAUAUUAUUGAUUUUAUGUAUGUAAAUAGAGCAUAGUCAACUUGACAAUGCCUCUUUAAAUAAUUGAAAAAUCUGCCUCAGCUGACAGUAGCUCACAAGAUAACGAGGCUGGUUGUGGAAGAACAUGAGUAAUUAGAGAGUGGGGAUUCUUGCCACAUGGAAUUGACCCUUGGGGGCUUGAAGAAAGCAGGAUUUGUGGCUGCUCUGAAAUGCCAGUGGUCUGGUCCAGCAUUCCUCUUGUCAAUACGAACCUUGUGUUUUUAUUGGAAACACGUGUCAAAACAAAACAGUGUUUGAGGCUGCUGCUGAGAGAAGGUGGGCAAGUCCACAGACAGCCAACCUGUUUUUUCUGCUUGUUUCCAAACAUACCCUGCCACACUGCCCGUCACAUUCAAAUGGAGGGAAAGAUGAUGGAGCAGACAUAG